UACGUAGGGUGCAGGCGUUAAUCGGAAUUACUGAGCGUAAAGCGUGCGCAGGCGGCUCCUUAAGUCAGAUGUGAAAUCCCCGGGCUUAACCUGGGAACUGCGUUUGAAACUGGGGGGCUUGAGUGUGGAAGAGGGGGGUGGAAUUCCAGGUGUAGCAGUGAAAUGCGUAGAGAUCUGGAGGAACACCGAUGGCGAAGGCAGCCCCCUGGGCUAACACUGACGCUCAUGCACGAAAGCGUGGGGAGCAAACAGG
rnacentral:rRNA from 1 species